UCUGAGCUCACCGAUGGAGUCCUCACAACCUCAGAGUCCCGACGAGUACUCUGCCUCUUCGACAGUUAUCACCUUCGGACGCCCAAUUCCUCUUCUCCGUGGGCCAAUUCGAGCCGGUCAAUCCGAAAAUCCCUCGGCAGGUCCGUACAUGCUUGCGUUUAGGGAUCCCCAAGCGUGGGAAUCUGCAUACAAAAUAUGCGAGUUGAAGAUUAUUGAACAAUGCGAGACCGGCGCGAGGAUUGGCUGUUCAAUAAUUGCUUCCGACAAAUGCAAGCCGCGGUGGUGGGGAUUUUUGAUGCAAUCGAAGAAGGGGUUGGAUUUGAAGGCGAGGGAGAUGUGCGAAGAGCGAGAAAUGUAGGCUUGUUUGGCUGCUGCGAAGGAGAGGUGUGUUGGUUUCGCGAAGGAGAAGUGUUGUAAGCCGUUCAUGGAUGCUAGAAUUGGAAUCUUUCAAAAGGUCUGAUCAGUGGACAAUGUAGAGGCUAGUUCCGUGCUUAAUUAUUGGAAAUAUCUGUUCGGACGGCCAUACAUGUUCAUAUACCACAAUCCGUGUCAGUUUCUUGGUUAUUCCAGGUUCACAAGCAUUUAUUUCUGGUUGGUUAAUUACAACGGCGGACAAAGCAUCCAAAUGAAAGCAGCUUCUCAAUGCUUAAUUUUGUUUCUGAUCCUUUGUGGCAGCUGUGGUUAAAUCAAUGUGAGUAUGACGAAAAUGAUAUGCUUAAUUUCGUUUCCAUGAUAUAUCUGAAGGUACAAUAUGUAUGCGUGUCGAUAUUCGUGACAACACACCACUGUAGGCACAUUUUUUAGGGAAAAGAAUUAGAUGCUUGUAAUUUAGAUACAAUGUGGGUUCUUUUUUCUUCUUUUAAUGAAAGAACAAACUUUAGAAUAGAAAUGCGCCAUACGAAAAGCAAAGCCCAAACUAAAAGGCUCCUCGUAAACAGACAACCUAGUCUAAGAUUCAGACAGGCAGCUCCUCCUAUGAACACUCAAACACCUCAAAACAUUCUCCUAUUCCUCGAGUCAAUACUGUCGAUGGUUUCAUCGACUGGUAUGAGAUUCGGAUAUGUUUGCUCUAGGAGCGAAGGAGGUACUUGAAUAUGACAUUCUUCCUAUUAAACCAAUCAUUUGCACGCAAUCAUAAAAACUAACUUCAUCAUUGUUCUUGAAUGGUUUUCUUUUUUCUAACAUUUGACUUCUUGAUCGACAGUAUAUGUUCUAAUUUUCUAAGCUAUACCCAGCUUGGUUAGUUCGUUGUUUUGUUUUGUUGUUUUGAGUUUCAUUCUUAACAGAAGGACGAUAGUUGAAUAUGAAUUAGAAAAAAUAGUUUGCUUUAGUUAAUUGAUUUUAAUUAGCUUAGGAUUGUGAAGUUUGAAGCUCAAUGUGUGGAUUGUGCUGCAAAUGAAUUAUAGAAAACUGGAUUCAUGCUGUAUUUUUAGCCUAAGUUUUAUGUAGCCAUGGGAUUAACAAAUUCAUAGGAUCAUAGUUUAGAACGAACAUUCGGUUUAUGUACCCAUGGAAUAUAGGUCGUCUCGAGUUCUUCAUUCAAACAAGGCCGAAAACAAAGAUUCAGGACUGUUCAUGUUUGGGAAUAAGGGAAUAUAUAAUGCCUCCAACAACGUAUAAACACUAUUCUUUCAUUUUUUAUGCUUCCUCCGAAUAAAAUAAAAAUAUCCCAUUAGGGGACAGUCUAUUCUAAUCACCAUCCCACAGGACAGGAGCUUUAAACUUGCCUAUAUUAUAUUGCAGAAAAAAAUAAUAAAUAAAUGUUUGUAGAACUUCAAAGCAAUAAGCAUGGAGAAGGGGAUCUCAAAAGCACCAAAACCUCUUUGGAUAAGAGAAAUUCUGUCACUCAAAACCCUAACAGAUUCCCAGAGCAGAGAGGCAAGCAUUAGUGCAGAUCUGCUUCCUACGCCAUUUUUAGGCGAAGCUCAAGAAUCUCCAUUGCUAUCGCCGAUUACCCUUUCUAGAAAAUAUGUAUAUCAUUAUUGUCGAUGACACGACCAAAUAAACCAACCUGCAACAAGAAGAGAGAUUCACAAAUGGUUGUUUAGGUGUAGAAGAAUUUGCUAAAGUAAGAUGAACUCUGCAAGGAAGAAGAGAUGGGGAAGUGUUUGAAAGUAGUAAGAUUGAUGGUUGUAGGCAAGAGAAGGUGGUUGGUUGUGUCGUAAUUCGAUUUUCUCGUGAUACCAUCAAAAGGUGAAGCUACCAUAUGAUCUGAUCUUUCCUUGUGUGAAGAGCAAGAAGAAGGUUAGAUCAUGCUGGCAGCUUCAACUGCUGGUGAUGCACGGCAAAGUCUGAGAGUUGGUGUUAUUGUUUGAAUGAAGAUGAGGGGAUAUAAAUAGAGGGGGAAGUCUUAGAGGGGAUAUAAACAGAGGGGGAAGUCUUAGUUUUUGUUGGUGAAGUGUAUGUGAAGGGGUUUGAAAAUGAAAAAGUAAAAAAAUGAAGAAAACGUAGAUAUAUGGCAGAGUGGCAAUGGUCCAAAGGUAACGGCCCAACCCCACCGUUAGUAGAUAUUGUUCUCCUUGGGCUUUCCCUCAAGAUUUUUAAAACGCUUUGUUAGAGAG